rnacentral:rRNA from 1 species
GAUGAACGCUGGCGGCGUGCCUAAUACAUGCAAGUCGAGCGAACAGACGAGGAGCUUGCUCCUCUGACGUUAGCGGCGGACGGGUGAGUAACACGUGGAUAACCUACCUAUAAGACUGGGAUAACUUCGGGAAACCGGGGCUAAUACCGGAUAAUAUAUUGAACCGCAUGGUUCAAUAGUGAAAGACGGUUUUGCUGUCACUUAUAGAUGGAUCCGCGCCGCAUUAGCUAGUUGGUAAGGUAAAGGCUUACCAAGGCAACGAUGCGUAGCCGACCUGAGAGGGUGAUCGGCCACACUGGAACUGAGACACGGUCCAGACUCCUACGGGAGGCAGCAGUAGGGAAUCUUCCGCAAUGGGCGAGAGCCUGACGGAGCAACGCCGCGUGAGUGAUGAAGGUCUUCGGAUCGUAAAACUCUGUUAUUAGGGAAGAACAAAUGUGUAAGUAACUAUGCACGUCUUGACGGUACCUAAUCAGAAAGCCACGGCUAACUACGUGCCAGCCGCCGCAGUAA